rnacentral:rRNA from 1 species
GACGAACGCUGGCGGCGUGCUUAACACAUGCAAGUCGAACGGAAAGGCCCUGCAUUUGUGGGGUGCUCGAGUGGCGAACGGGUGAGUAACACGUGAGUAACCUGCCCUUGACUUUGGGAUAACUUAAGGAAACUGGGGCUAAUACCGGCUAGAAGCUCCUGCUGCAUGGUGGGGGUUGGAAAGUUUCGGCGGUUGGGGAUGGACUCGGGGCUUAUCAGCUUGUUGGUGGGGUAGUGUCUUACCAAGGCUUUGACGGGUAGCCGGCCUGAGAGGGUGACAGGCCACAUAGGGACUGAGAUAGGGGCCAUACUGAUACGGGAGGCAGGGGUGAGGGAUUUACCACACUGGGCGGAAGCAUUAAUGAGGACCGCCGCGUGGGGGAGGACGGUUUUUGGGGUGGAAUCCGUUUUCGCCUGUGACGAAGCGUGAGUGACGGUAAUGGGUAAAGAAGCAACGGCUAACUACGUG